AUUGAACGCUGGCGGCAUGCCUUACACAUGCAAGUCGAACGGCAGCACGGGGCAACCUGGUGGCGAGUGGCGAACGGGUGAGUAAUGCAUCGGAACGUACCUUUCAGUGGGGGAUAACGUAGCGAAAGUUACGCUUAUACCGCAUAUUCUGUGAGCAGGAAAGCAGGGGAUCGCAAGACCUUGCGCUGAUUGAGCGGCCGAUGUCAGAUUAGCUAGUUGGUGAGGUAAAGGCUCACCAAGGCGACGAUCUGUAGCGGGUCUGAGAGGAUGAUCCGCCACACUGGAACGGGGACACGGUCCAGACUCCUACGGGAGGCAGCAGUGGGGAAUUUUGGACAAUGGGGGCAACCCUGAUCCAGCCAUGCCGCGUGAGUGAAGAAGGCCUUCGGGUUGUAAAGCUCUUUCGGCCGGGAAGAAAUCGCACGGGCUAAUACCCUGUGUGGAUGACGGUACCGGAAUAAGAAGCACCGGCUAACUACGUGCCAGCAGCCGCAGUAACAC
rnacentral:rRNA from 1 species